ensembl:lncRNA
GCUAAGAAUUUGCCAAGGGCAUCAACAGCAGUUUUCCCAGGCUCCAGCACAAGGAUUAUGUAGUCAAUCCACAAAUGACUCAAAUCUUUGAAGAAAAGGACAUGGUUAUCAGAGAGGCUUUGACGACAGCAAGGACGGGAGUGCUAUCUGCCUUUUUCCAUCAGAGAUUCCCAUUCCCUUCAUUAACAUACUCAGGACAUCAGCACAGCCAUCAGGCCCGAGGGAAUCCCUUCCAACUUUUGAGGGAACGUGCACAAGACCUCGCCCCUGCGUUGUUUCAGACAGAUCAAACCAGAUUUGCCUCGUGUGAGUGUCCUGAUGCCCUGCUGGAUGUGUUUGGUCCAGCACCAGCCAGGAUGCAAAGCUGA